rnacentral:tRNA from 1 species
GCGGCCCGGGGUGCGGAUGCGCCCGGCCGUCGGUCGGCUGGGUUCCGGCCGGGGCGCCCUGGUCCGUCAGCUCGGGCCGGGCGGCCAGCU